AGCCAGGGAGGCAGCCGUCUCCAACGGGC
rnacentral:sRNA from 1 species